rnacentral:rRNA from 1 species
AGAUUUUAAUGAUCGAACAGAUCAAAAUUUUAAACUUUUGCAUUUAAAUUUUAUCUUAAUCCAACAUCGAGGUCGCAAACUUUUUUUUUUAUUUGAGCUAAAAAAAAAUAUUACGCUGUUAUCCCUAAGGUAAUUUUUUCUUAUAAUCAUUAUUAAUGGAUCAUUUAAUCAUUUAUUUAUGUUUAAUUUUUAAAAAAAGUUAAUUUAAUUUUUCUAUCACCCCAAUAUAAUAAUUAAUUUUAUUUCAAUAAAAAUUUUUAUAUAAUUUUAAAAUAAAAAUAAAUAUAAAACUCUAUAGGGUCUUCUCGUCUUUUAAAAUUAAUUUAGCUUUUUAACUAAAAAAUAAACUUCUAAAAAUAAAUAAGAGACAGUUUAUAUUUCAUCAAAUCUUUCAUACAAGUUUUCAAUUAAAAAACUAGUGAUUAUGCUACCUUUGUACAGUCAUUAUACUGCAGCCCUUUAAUUAUUAUCAGUGGGCAGAUUAGACCUUAAAUUAUAUUCAAA